GAAUAACAAAUCUUUCAAUAAAACAACAUCGCAAGUGUUGUCUUUAUAGCUCUGCGUUUCUUACGCUAAUUAUUUCAAGUUUGGGGUUCGACGAGAGAACACAGGCAACCCUAGUCCCCUAGCAAGCAAAUAACAGGGGAAAGCAAGGAAGCAGCAUGCAUUCAAGGGUGUAUUAUUUACAGCAUAUUACAUAGAAUAUUUAAUUGAGCCUGUGCACAUCAUGUAUUACCCUGUACUGAUACAGAAUGUGCACAGAAAUAUAUCGCAGAAAAUGAAGUUGUAAACAUUUCAAUAUUUCAAGCUGUAAAGUUUUAAUUUUAGUAAAAAGCCUAAAAGUUGCUCAGAAAUUGCUCAAAAACGAAAAAGUUGCUUCAAGUUGCUCGAACUGAAAAAAGUUGCUCCAAACGCAAAAAGUUGCUCAAAAG